AUUGAACGCUGGCGGCAGGCCUAACACAUGCAAGUCGAACGAGUGGCGGACGGGUGAGUCAUGUCUGUGACACUGCCUGAUGGAGGGGGAUAACUACUGGAAACGGUAGCUAAUACCGCAUACCAUCAGAUGUGCCCAGAUGGGAGUGGCUAGUUGGUUGGGUAACGGCUCACCAAGGCGACGAUCCCUAGCUGGUCUGAGAGGAUGACAAGCCCAACUGGACCUGAGACACGGUCCAGACUCCUACGGUAGGCAGCAGUGGGGAAUAUUGCACAAUGGGCGAAAGCCUGAUGCAGCCAGGCCGCGUGGAUGAAUAAGGCCUUCGUGUUGUAAAGUACUUUCAGUGGGGAGGCGUUACCCGCAGAAGAAGCACCGGCUAACUCCGUGCCAGCAGCCGCGGUAAUAC
rnacentral:rRNA from 1 species